AUUGAACGCUGGCGGCAGGCUUAACACAUGCCAGUCGAGCGAGCGGCGGACGGGUGAGUAAUGUCUGGGAAACUGACUGAUGGAGGGGGAUAACUACUGGAAACGGUAGCUGAUACCGCAUACCAUCAGAUGUGCCCAGAUGGGAUUAUCUAGUAGGUGGGGUAAUGGCUCACCUAGGCGACGAUCCCUAGCUGGUCUGAGCGGAUGACCAGCCACAAGGGAACUGAGAAACGGUCCAGAAUCAUACGGGAGUCAGCAGUGGGGAAUAUUGCACAAUGGGAGCAAGCCUGAUGCAGCCAUGCCGCGUGUAUGAAGAAGGCCUUCGGGUUAUAAAGCACUUUCAGCGAGGAGGCGUUACUCGCAGAAGAAGCACCGGCUAACUCCGUGCCAGCCGCCGCGGUAAUAC
rnacentral:rRNA from 1 species